rnacentral:lncRNA from 1 species
GCAGCGUGGCUGUAUGGCCGGUGACUCACGAUGGCAGCGGCACGAUCAACUCAAGUCAAGGGGCCAACGCGAUGGAGCAUAACAGAAACACACACGUACACAUGCGUCUGGAUGAGAAUAGGUGUGUUCAUAGAUCUCUCUUUCCUAAGCACGUAUGCUAAUUGAUCCUUCAUAGGUAUGUCUACAUAUGUUCCUCUCAGCUAGCCCACAUAUAUUAUACUCAUAUGCAUGCGUUUGUGAGAUAUAUAGAUGCUAUAAGCUGUGACGUGAUUGAGUAAGAUAUAAUUUUAAGCCAGCCAAAUCUGCUACCCAACUAACACACCACCAGCGAAAUUAAAGUCUACCAAAUCUAUGACGCAGAUGGCGACACAACGCUGACAAAUAUUAGAAACAACAAAAACUACGAUGUGAUGCCGAACUCGACGAUCGACGAAGUCACACCCAACUAAACCUUCCGAAUUGUCCAUCACCUGAAUCAUAAAGGUGCAAAACUACUAUUCUUAGAACAAUGUGCAUUAUCAGUUUGACUAACAAUUUUCUAAUCCAUUUGCAGCAAAAGCACAAUGGCGUACAAGAAGCUUGGCGACUUGACAAUAGGACGACAAAAGUGAACAUUCAAGUGAAAGUAAUGAGAAUGUGGGACUCACACAAUUCAACAAUUGAUGGCCUUAUGACCCUCAGUAUGAUCUUGAUGAAUGAAAAGGUUAAAUCAAGACAUAUUUUAUUGUAGAUUGUUCUAUUGUUUUAAACAACCACCGCUAAGCAUUUUUUAUUGUUUUUACAGGGUCAAAGAAUUCAUGCUACUAUCAGGAAGACUCUGGUAGACACGAUGUAUAGAUCCAAUCUUAAUUGGACUUCCAUCGUUGCGUUUAACAUUAACAAGUGAUAACAAAGUUCAACGGUAAGCGCAUAAUGUUACAAUCUCUUCUUUUAUUUACAAAAGUAUAUCUAAUAGAACUAACGAAAGAUGAAUCAUGUUUAUUUACCAGUGUAAAAUAAUUUUUAUACUUGACUCACUCCAAUUCUGCAGGCACUCAGCGGAAGAAACUUUACCAGAAAUGAUUGAGAUAGAUAGAACUAUCCAAGAAACACUAGAAAAAACAUGUGUUUAACAAGAGGAGAACAUUACUAGAACUUACUAGAAUAAGGCACCACAAUGAGAUAAAUCACGUAAUGCAUGAGAGUUCUUUCAAGAUGUGAUAUCACCACAUUUCGAGGAAAAGAAGACUUUAAGACCUGCAAUCGCAACUGAGUUAUAUUAGUUAAACCUAUACCAUAUUUUUCUUAUUUAUGUCUCUCAAUUUCUUCAGAAUACUAACUUUUGAGCUUUUUGGUAUUUUUUAGGAUUUGGUGUUCACCGCAUAGCUACAAUAGACGAGUGACAAGAAAAUAUUGAAUGCGGGCAUACGUCAUGUGAUGAAUGUCAGAAAUUAGCUACGAAGUAAAGUAACAUGUUUUUCCAAAGUUGUGACAUGUCCAGAAAAUGUAACACCUCGGUAACCAUAUUCUAUUAAUUUGGACAACAAAUUUUCUAUUAAACUUAGUCGAGCACUAAUUACAAUGGUGAUGUAAGAAUCAUAAUGGACAGCAAAUUAGUGACCAUACAAAUACUACAAGAUGCACUUUAUUAGACGACAAGGCCGAAAAUUUGCAUACACUGCAGCAGUAAGAACAGCAAAGAAAACACCCAAAAGGUUGAUGAAAUCAAGAUAUGAAUUGCUUAUGAAAAAUGCAAGAAGACAAGUGGUAAGUUCAAAGAUAAACUAGCAGAAACAAAACAUAGAAGAACAAGUAGGUCAUCCAAAAAUAUUAUUUGUUGGGAUAAGAGUAAGGAUACCUAACAUCAACCAAAUAUAAGGAGGAGAUGUUAGCACUAUCAGAAGUAUGACAUACUGUAAUUAUUGUUUCGAAUACAUCUGAACAUACACUUUUUUGAGUUUUUAUGUACUUGCAGAAGUUCGUCUAUCAUGUAGCCUUUUCAGUUCAAGAGAACCACCAGAGAAGUUCUAAUAUUAUAGUACAAGUGAUACAAAAAAUCUUAGGAUGGAGUGCAAAAGAUUGAAUCAUUACUUGGAAGGACGCAGAGCAAUAGCACUAACAGUGGUAGAGGUCUGACAGCACGAACAAUUAGGAAGGAGGCAACUCACUUGGUACACUAAUUCCAUGGCAAAUCUGAAGCACCCAAAGAUUUAUGUUCGCAUUCAAGCUCAACAAUAACAAUCUCAACUUUGUGUCCAAAAACUAUGGAGCAAGUUAUGGUUGAUGAUAGGCUUGAGAUGCUAUACUUGGACAAUUAACUUGAGAGGUAAGGGCACAAUGGACUCUCUAAAAGAUUAACUACUACAUUUAUAAAUUUUCUGCCGUUGAUUAAUUAUGUAUCCAUGAACUAGUUUUGCAUAGAGAAGGCCAUUACUAAUCUCUCGGAUACAACAGACAUACAAAAGCCAUGAUCGACGACACUUUCAUCUAUCUUACAAUUAGUCUGCAAAUUCCCCCCGCUGUCUCUCUCUCUCUCUUUUAUUGUCUCCCAAAAAAUAAGCAUCAUACCAUGGCCUCCUCAUUUUGACAAAGCUCACUGGACAAUGCUCUACAUCGCAACAUCCAAAAUGCAUCUUAAGCAAUGUAUCAAUCCAUGAUUACAUUUAUACCUUUGAUCUUUCUAGAGAAAAACCAUUUAUACACCUAUAAUAUUUCCGUUCUUGACAAAUGAUUAAUCAGAAAAUUUCUACAGAUUAACAUGUACUCCCUCUGUAAAGAAAUAUAAGAGCGUUUAGACCUUAAAAUGUACUCUUAUAUUUCUUUACAGAGGGAGCAUCACUCAUCGAGUCCACUUAAAAUUCACUUCAAAUCAACUCAAUCUACUCUCAUCUCUCUCAUACUACAAACCUCCAAAAGCCACGAUCCCCAACACUUAUCUCUGUCAUGAAUAGUUCCCAAAUCCACAUCUGUACUAUACUGUCUCUCUCGAAAAGUGGCUCUUCUUUAAUAACUAUAUAUCGAGUGUGACUAUGGAUGGGGAUUCUACCGCUACUUCUCACAUGGGGUCAAAUUUAGCUUAUGUGACAAGGAGAGAAGAUGAUAUAUUUAAUUACCUCUGCCUCCUCUUCCGCCAAAUCCAUUUGGAUCUGGACGUUGGGACUGAAGCUGCGGCGCUCUGCUCUCCUAUGGUUGUUGGCGCCACGACUUCUCCUGUAGAUGCGCAUGUGCUGCUGCUGUCUGAGAUGAGAUGAGGAGAGCGAACAUUUCCCAUCUUGCGGUGGCCAGCGACGAUGCCGAAGACCGAAGUUUGACAGCAGCGACCGACGGUGGCAGUGUGGCACAGAAAUAAACUGAUGCGAGACUGGGCUGACUGCUUGGGAACAAGCACAAGGAUUUGGGCUGAGUUGGGCUGAGAAAUAAUUCAACAAAAAAAGAAGUUAAUUACCGGAGGUUCGUUUCAAAAAAAA